GAUGAACGCUGGCGGCGUGCCUAAUACAUGCAAGUCGAGCGAACAGACGAGGAGCUUGCUCCUCUGACGUUAGCGGCGGACGGGUGAGUAACACGUGGAUAACCUACCUAUAAGACUGGGAUAACUUCGGGAAACCGGAGCUAAUACCGGAUAAUAUAUUGAACCGCAUGGUUCAAUAGUGAAAGACGGUUUUGCUGUCACUUAUCGAUGGAUCCGCGCCGCAUUAGCUAGUUGGUAAGGUAACGGCUUACCAAGGCAACGAUGCGUAGACGACCUGAGAGGGUGAUCGGCCACACUGGAACUGAAACACGGUCAAGACUCCUACGGGAGGCAGCAGAAGGGAAUCUUCCGCAAUGGGCGGAAGCAUGACGGAGCAACGCCGAGUGAGUGAUGAAGGUCUUCGGAUCGUAAAACUCUGUUAUGAGGGAAGAACAAAUGUGUAAGUAACUAUGCACGUCUUGACGGUACCUAAUCAGAAAGCCACGGCUAACUACGUG
rnacentral:rRNA from 1 species